AACGCUGUUGAUGGGGGGGGUGCUAUAUAACCUAGUACCCGUCAAAAACCCGUUUGCGGAGAGAAUAAUUAAAAAUCUUUUUCAUACAGUGGAGGAUGAAGGGUCUAAAGUCGAGCCAUCAGCUCAGCAGAAGAAAAAAAAUAAGCCGCAAAACCGGAAACAAGAUGGCGUGGAUGAUGAGGCAGUGGGUGGCGGCGAGGCUUCAACGCCUGCCACAAAAUAAACAUUUAAUUAAAACUACACAGAAAAAAAAUAAAUGAGUGAGAAUAAAACUUUCAAUUUGAAAAUAUUUCUUUAAAUAAAACAUUGUUAUUCUGAAUGCGAAAUUGUUUCAUUAAAAGUUUGAAAGUUUUCAAAUGACAUUCCCAUCUUCUGUAAGUUUGGCAACAUUGGUAAUAAGUUUAAUCCUUCUGGCAACUGAUUGAGCUGUCAGUCGAAAAAAAGGCGCGACACGAAGUGCAAAACAGAUUCAGUAAGGAAUAGAGUAAAUGGAAAUAAUUAUUUCAACCAGCCUUGUUUUACCAAAUCAGGAACAUGUUCUAAUGGAAAAGAAUAUGUUUUGUUGUGCACCCGAUGACCAGUUUCCGCAGAACCAAGGCAGCAGAAACCAACCAGUAACUGAGCAGAUGAAGAACUCGGUGGCUCGGUGCUCAACACGGCCCUAAAUGACCAGUUUUUCGCAUAAUCAUUACAACAGCAACCGAGGCAGCAAUCAACCAAUAACUCGGUGCUCAACACAUCCCUGAUUGCCAUUAAUAACCCGGCCAGCCAGUCAUCCCCAGCAGAAGCCACGUAUGAAUCAGUCUGAUCCGGAAAUGCAUAUCAUUUUACUACAUUGGUGUAUUAUAAAUUUUAAUUGUACGUUAUAAUGUAAAUCAAAA